AAAUGAUAAUGAUGGGUGUGGUUUUGAUGGGAACAUUUUACUCCCCACAGAGUAAAACUGACAAAAUCGCACUCUAACAUUCAACUCUGUUUAUUAACACCAACAGUGGGGUUCUUUUACACCAAUGAAAAGUUCAUUUAACACUUACAGGGAUAAUUUAACACCUGAAUUAACACUAGAAAUGCUACACUGAAAAAUCAACACAAGGUAACCCUGGCCAAUUUUCUGUGUAUGAUAUGAAAUAGAGUAUAACGGCUUUGUAACAUGUAUGAUUAGCAGUUGUGCAGUGUAGUACUGCAGUUUAAUGUGUCAAUAGCUACUUGGUCAUGUAUCAUGUUUAUGUGAAGCUAAGCAACAUGGUCAAACAUUAAAAUAUCCAUACACCUAAAGUUAUAUACAUUUUUUCCCUUCGCUUCAGCGGUUUCAUUCAGUGGCGUUAUGAAUAUUUUAAGUCAUGGUAAACAGACUGUGAUGAUUCUGCUCUUUGGAAAGUGGUGACAUUUGUUUGGCUGACCAAAUCUAAACAUGGUUACUGAAAACGCAAGUGGAGAUAAGGGGUCCAUUAGGCUGCGUUUACACAGGCAGCCUAAUUCUAAUAUUUUUUUCACUAAUUGGUAUUUUGACCAAUCAGAUCAGCUCUAAAAAAAAGAUCUGAUGUGAAAAGAUAUGAACCAAUCAAAUACCAGUCAAUGAACCAAUUAAUGGAAAAAAUAUUAGAAUUGGGCUGCCUGUGUAAAUGCAGCCUUUUUGUUUGGCAGUUCUCAGAAGAUUUGGGUCAGGAGCCAGUGGAAUUGUGGUGCUACUUUGUUAUGUAGCUAUCUGACAGUAAAGCAUGAGGGAAGGCAGCUUGCAAGGGAGAUUUUGAGAAGUGUUCUACUGCCAUCUAUCUUCCUCUGUGACUACUUACAGUAAUGUAAUUGCGCUUCUUCAGCCAUCCUCAUGUUCCUGUGUGUUUUGUGAAAAAAACCUUGACCCCCAUCAAUCCACCAUCUUUGCUUUUAAAAACAACAACAAGCUCUUGGAGAUGGCAUGUAUUUACUUAAUCUGCAUUGAUUGAUUAUUAAUAUGGUUUAAAGGUCCCGCACAGUCAUCCUGAUUUCUAUGUAAAAUAGCCUUUUGAGUGACCAAAACAUCCCCCGUAAUAUUUUUCCCAAUACAAAUUCUAUGAAUUCGAGAAAAUGUACAUUUUCUCUCAUGUCUAACUAUCAGGAAGUCUGAAAAGACAGGCUGAGUGGGAGGGGAGCUAAUAGCUGAGUGGGCAGGGAGCUCAUCUUGACUGACAGUGCUUUGAAACACCUAUGUCAACAAGUGACAUGGACACAUUGAGGUCAUCUCAAAUCAAGUCAAAAAUCAAAUCAAAUUGAUUUAUAUAGCCCUUCGUACAUCAGCUGAUAUCUCAAAGUGCUAUACAGAAACCCAGCCUAAAACCCCAAACAGCAAGCAAUGCAGGUGUAGAAGCACGGUGGCUAGGAAAAACUCCCUAGAAAGGCCAAAACCUAGGAAGAAACCUAGAGAGGAACCAGGCUAUGUGGGGUGGCCAGUCCUCUUCUGGCUGUGCCGGGUGGAGAUUACAACAGAACAUGGCCAAGAUAUUCAAAUGUUCAUAAAUGACCAGCAUGGUCGUAUAAUAAUAAGGCAGAACAGUUGAAACUGGAGCAGCAGCACGGUCAGGUGGACUGGGGACAGCAAGGAGUCAUCAUGUCAGGUAGUCCUGGGGCAUGGUCCUAGGGCUCAGGUCCUAGUUGAAACUGGAGCAGCAGCACGGCCAGGUGGACUGGGGACAGCAAGGAGUCAUCAUGUCAGGUAGUCCUGGGGCAUGGUCCUAGGGCUCAGGUCCUCCGAGAGAGAGAGAGAAAGAGAGAAUUAGAGAACGCACACUUAGAUUCACACAGGACACCGAAUAGGACAGGAGAGGUACUCCAGAUAUAACAAACUGACCCUAGCCCCCCGACACAUA
ensembl:lncRNA